AACCCCCAGCUAGGCUGGGGGUUCCGUAAAGCUUCCAGCUUUGGGGCGGAUAUAAAAACCCCUUUUGAUUUGUUAAAACACCUUGCGGUCUGGCAACUGCAAUGGUCAAACAAGAAAUCAAAAG
rnacentral:sRNA from 14 species